rnacentral:rRNA from 1 species
AUUGAACGCUGGCGGCAGGCCUAACACAUGCAAGUCGAACGGUAACAGGAAACAGCUUGCUGUUUCGCUGACGAGUGGCGGACGGGUGAGUAAUGUCUGGGAAACUGCCUGAUGGAGGGGGAUAACUACUGGAAACGGUAGCUAAUACCGCAUAACGUCGCAAGACCAAAGAGGGGGACCUUCGGGCCUCUUGCCAUCGGAUGUGCCCAGAUGGGAUUAGCUAGUAGGUGGGGUAACGGCUCACCUAGGCGACGAUCCCUAGCUGGUCUGAGAGGAUGACCAGCCACACUGGAACUGAGACACGGUCCAGACUCCUACGGGAGGCAGCAGUGGGGAAUAUUGCACAAUGGGCGCAAGCCUGAUGCAGCCAUGCCGCGUGUAUGAAGAAGGCCUUCGGGUUGUAAAGUACUUUCAGCGGGGAGGAAGGGAGUAAAGUUAAUACCUUUACUCAUUGACGUUACCCGCAGAAGAAGUACCGGCUAACUCCGU